GAAAUGCGAUAAGUAAUGCGAAUUGCAGAAUUCCAGUGAGUCAUCGAAUCUUUGAACGCACAUUGCGCCCUUUGGUAUUCCGAAGGGCAUGCCUGUUCGAGCGUCAUUAUCACCCCUCAAGCCCUCGGCUUGGUGUUGGACGGUUUGGUGGAGGCCCCCUCGGGGGCUCCUGCCCCUCCCAAAGACAAUGACGGCGGCCUCGUUGGACCCCCGGUACACUGAGUUCUUCACGGGACACGUAUCGGACACAUGGGUUUACGGGACACGGUCUGCCUCCCCUCAGGGAGAAUCUUUCUAAGGUUGACCUCGGAUCAGGUAGGGAUACCCGCUGAACUUAA
rnacentral:misc_RNA from 1 species